UAAGACUGUUACCUUGAAAAAAUUAGAGUGUUUAAAGCAGGCUCACGCUUGAAUACAUUAGCAUGGAAUAAUGAAAUAGGACAUCCGAUUCUAUUUUGUUGGUUUCUAGGAUCGAUGUAAUGAUUAAUAGGGAUAUUGGGGCAUUAGUAUUCAAUUGUCGAAGGUGGGAGUUCUUGGAUUUAUUGAAGACUAACUACUGCGAAAGCAUUUGCCAAGGAUGUUUUCAUUAAUCAAGAACGAAAGUUAGGGGAUCAAAGACGAUCAGAUACCGUCGUAGUCUUAACCACAAACUAUGCCGACUAGGGAUCGGAUGAUGUUAAUUUUUAAUGACUCAUUCGGCGCCUUACGGGAAAC
rnacentral:rRNA from 2 species